AUCCAACCCAGACCGAAAUCCCUGUGGAGACCUGCGAGCUGCACGGUAUGCUGUAGCUCUGGAAGAUGUGGGUUUAUUUCCACAAAAGAAUCAGCGGCAUGUAAUGUGACCGACCGAGACAAAGACACGAAACCGUAGAGACCCCAGUAACCGGAACCCAGGGGUUGUUAGAGGUUUCAGCUCUUUUUUUAAAUUAGUUUUUUAUUCUCUUUUUCUCCCGAGGUGGUUGUCAUGUAGGCCGCAGAUUGGAUUGUGUUGCUGGGGAGGAGAUCUUUUGAUUUCGCUGCUGGGCUACACUUACAGAAUCAUUGAAUUACUUCAUUUGUCUUUCUUUGGUGAUUUAUUUUACUGUUAUUCAGAGCUGGAUUUUGGAUUCUUGAGGGUUCAGAAGAAUGGAUGUGGAUGUAUGUGCUGGGGGAGACAGCACCAGAAAAAAAAUGGACACUGUUGGAGACGGAGCUGUGGAGGUUGUGCCGUUGGAGCUCUAUGACUCAUCUCGGGCAAAAAUAGAUGCCAAUCUACGGUGGCUGUUUGCAAAAGCUUAUGGAAUAGACAACAUCCCGGAGGACCUGAGAGACCCCUUUUACACAGACCAGUAUGAGCAGGAGCACAUCAAGCCUCCGGUGAUCAAGCUGCUGCUGUCCAGUGAGCUGUACUGCCGCGUGUGCAGCCUCAUCCUGAAAGGGGAUCAGGUGGCAGCUCUGCAGGGGCACCAGUCUGUCAUUCAGGCUCUGUCUCGGAAAGGCAUCUACGUCAUGGAGAGUGAUGACACUCCUGUGUCAGAGUCUGAUCUCAGCUGUGCCCCGAUCAAAAUGAGUGCUCACAUGCCAAUGAUUGAUGCUCUAAUGAUGGCCUACACAGUGGAAAUGAUCAGCAUUGAAAAGGUUGUCGCCAGUGUUAAACGUUUCUCAACAUUUAGUGCCUCGAAGGAGCUUCCUUUUGACCUCGAGGAUGCAAUGGUCUUCUGGAUAAAUAAGGUAAACCUGAAAAUGAGAGAAAUCACUGAGAAAGAACUAAAACUGAAACAGCAGCUUCUGGAGUCUCCAAGUCAUCAGAAAUCUCCUUCCAAAUGGUAUUGGAAACUAGUACCUGUGCGUUAUCGGAGGGACCAACUUUCCAGCAGACAGUUGCCAUAUUUUCCUUUACUGGAAGACCUUGUGAAGGACGUGUGUGAUGGUGCUGCGCUUUUAGCCGUUAUACACUACUACUGUCCUGAACUCAUGAAACUCGAUGAUAUAUGUUUGAAGGAAGUGACCUCUAUAGCAGACAACCUAUACAAUAUUCAGCUGCUGAAAGAGUUUGCUAAUGAGUAUCUCAACAAAGGUUUUUAUCUCACUACAGAGGAUAUGUUGUAUGCUCCUUUAGGGCUGAAGCAUAAUGUUAUGGUCUUCAUUGCUGAACUGUUCUGGUGGUUUGAAAUUGUCAAGCCUGACUUUGUGCAGCCAAGGGACUUUCAAGAAAUUAAAGACGCGAGAGCAAUGCAGCAGUCAAAGAGCACCCGUCCUCCUGUUCCCAUCUCAAACGCAACCAAACGCAGUUUCAUGGUGAGCCCGGCCGGCAUGGCCAGUCCAGCAGAAACACCGCUGCUGCCUCCAGUUCAGAGCAGCCCCGAAGUCAGUAGCAGGUACUACCUGCACCCUGAAGAGCCUGACUUGCUGAGUAAGGGAAGUCCAGCAUAUAGCCUGUCUCACCCAUUGCUACCUCUAAGGCAGAAGCAACAGAAAUCCUUGCAGGGAGAGGAGAGUCCAGGUCUUCGCCAUCGUUCCAACUCGCUCACUCGAGAUGAUGGACAGCCAAGGGGGUCAGUGGUAGCAUGGCCAGAUAAGAAACAGAGACCUGUCUCCCAACCUACACCAUAUGCUCUUCAUUAUGCAACCGACAGUGACAUAGAUAUCGCCUCUGGUGACAAUGUCAGUCUCGCCAGGUCAAUCAGCAAAGAUAGCCUGGCUUCCAACGUGAUCAACCUAACACCGAAACAUCAGCCACAAACUGGCCUCAGAAAGGUCAAUGGACAAGGCUUACUUAGGAAUGUCAGUAUAGAGGAUGAGGAGGAAGAAGAACUAAUAGCUAUCAUAAGAUCUGAGGAGGGAAUAAACAGCCGUCUUCCAUACCAAGGGGACCUUGAGCUGCAGAGCAUCUCAUCAAGGGCCACAACAGCCAGGUCACCUAGGGUACAGGAUGAAAGUUCUUCACAACCUAGUUCCUUUUUCUUGGAACCAUUGAUGCCUGCGGCCUUAAAACCAGCAAAAGAGAAGUCUGUGAAUGUCAACAAAGAGCAGGAAAGUGGAGAAGGGAGACACAAGGGCGCCACUUCCAAGAGGCUGGUUGAUGGAAAUUUGCCUUCGACACGAGCGAAAGUUAUGAACUGUGCAGAUCCAGAUCUAAACCGUACUUUCACACCCAUUUCCAGCUCUGACUUUGCCAACGUUACAGACUCAACUCUUACAGAAUCUGUGCAACUCCCGAUGGAGAGUGCAUUUGGGCCUUUUAGACCGCUGGCCACAAGCAGUGUUGAUCCUACACCUAGUGAGCAGAGUGGAGGAUUCUUCCUUCAUUGUGCUGAAUCUGAAGAAAAAGCUACAGAAAGCAUUGGAAGUGGUAGCCCAUUGUAUGUGCCUGAAUCUACAUGGGAAGUGAGGCAAGACUCGGAUUCAGAGGUUCUUGAUAUGGAUGAAGUUGAUCAGGACUUGGGGGUAACUAACGAGAUCCGGCCGGUUAGAAGGAAAUACUUUGGUGAAGAAGAAUCUGCAAAAUUACAAGAAGAUAUGAAGGUAAAAGAACAUGAGGACAAAGAUGGAGGAAGUGGCCGCUCAAGUCCUUGCCUCAGUACCAUCUCCCAGGCCAGCAGUGUAUCCAUGGCAAGCGGGAGCAUCAAGAUGACCAGCUUUGCAGAGCGUAAACUUCAAAGAAUUAACAGCCAUGAGGCUAAGUCGAGCACCAGUAGCUCACAAAAGACUACCCCAGAUGGCUCAGAAUGUGGUCCUCUACCCUUGACCACAUGGAGACAGAAACGAGAUCAGAGCCCUACCAGGCAGAGCAAAGACAAUGUCCACGUUCUAGCUUCUGAGCUAGUACAGCUUCACAUGCAGUUGGAGGAGAAAAGAAGAGCGAUAGAGACACAGAAAAAGAAAAUGGAAGCCUUGUCUGCAAGACAAAGACUAAAGUUGGGCAAAGCAGCCUUUUUGCAUGUUGUAAAGAAAGGGAAAGCUGAAAGUAUUCCUCAGCCCUUAAAACCAGAUUACCUUUCAAAAGAGGAACCAAAGGUCAAUGGGGAAAGCUUUCUUUUGUCUGCGCAACAGUCUAGAGCUGAAGAAGUUUCCUCAAACAACAACCUUCAACAUCCCCAAGAAGUGCCCAAAGAAAAGGAUACACAAGAAAGCAGAAGUACAGUGAAAUGGGCAAGAGAAUCUCCAACUCCAUCUACUGUCCUGGAUACAGACAAUAAGUUAAAUUCCACGAUCUUGUUGGAUGACAGUGGUUCUGAAAUUGACAUGAAUGAAUGCAACCGGUCAAUUGACAUGUUGAAUAAUGCUAUAAGCACCAUUCAACAGCAAAUGAUGCAGCUUUCCCUACAGCAGGAUCUACUGAUGAAACAAAAUGUUCAGUCUCCUAGCACAACUUCCCCCAAUGGUAAAAGUAGCCCACCUGAACAAAAAAUCAGGCCAGCUGUGCAUUUUGUGGAACCACUUUCUCCAACAGGAAAUGGGACAGUGCGUAAGCCUCCUCGUUUUGGUCUGGGCCGGAGUCCUCGUUCAAAGCCGACAGACCUAAAAUUUUCAAAAGAAAAACAGCAGAGUGCCCCUCGUAUUAUUACACCAACUCAAAGCAUAGAAACGCUUCCUCAUUUAAGACACUUCCCAGGUAACAGAACAGCUAAAGCUGAGCCAGAAGAUGCAAGUCCUAUCAGCGGUGUUCCUGUGGAAUCGAGAAGUGUUAUUUUAGAAAAGGGCUCACCGAGGUCUACUUCAAAUGUCAGACUGCACGAUGAGGCCAACCAGCGGACAUUUGUACUUUCUACUUCUAAAGAUACUAACAACGUUUCAGAGCAAGAGUAUAAUGAAUGUCAAGCUAACCGCCUACAAGAAGCAGAGUUAAACUCUUCUGAUGGUUCUGGGAAGGAGAACGUUCCUUUUGAAGAGUCAUCGAAAAGUAAAACUCAACUCAUUGAAGUGGAUCUUUCUGACUUGAAAGCACCGACUGAAGAAGGGAGCUUUGAAAUUCCGGACACAUCGACAGACACGAUGGGCGAGGGAGACCAGAAGUCUGUUUUGGGAUUCUUCUUCAAGGACGAGCAGAAAGCUGAAGAUGAGCUGGCAAAAAAACGUGCUGCCUUCCUCCUGAAACAGCAGCGUAAGGCUGAGGAGGCUCGUCUGAGAAAGGGUCUGCUCGAGGCAGAGAUUGAACAGAAACGCGAGGAGGCGAGGCGCAAAGCAGAGGAAGACCGAAUUCGUAAGGAAGAGGAGAAGGCCCGGAGAGAGCUAAUCAAACAGGAGUACCUGCGACGGAAACAACAGGAGAUAAUUGAGGAGCAGGGACAGGGGAAACUCAAAACAAAACCCAAGAAGCAGAGGCCCAAGUCUGUCCACCGGGAAGAAACCUACAGCGACACUCCAUCCAAGUGCUCUUCUACUCGAAUACCUCGCAGAAAACAAAUCCCGACUGCCUGCCGGAGUCCCGGUGACAUUUGGGGAGCUGAUAACUUGAGCAGUGCCCAGUCUGGCUCCAGUCUGUCUUUGGCUUCAGCAGCUACCACUGAAGCUGAGAGCGUGCACUCUGGUGGGGCUGCAUCUCAGCGGGGGGAUUCCGUGGAAUCAUUCCUUGGGCUGAGCAGAAAUGCCAGCAGAAACACUGAGCGAGACUGGGAGAAUGCAUCGACAGCAUCCUCGGUUGCAUCUGUGGCUGAAUACACUGGGCCAAAAUUAUUCAAGGAACCCAGUGCAAAAUCAAACAAAACAAUUAUCCACAAUGCUAUUUCACAUUGCUGCUUGGCUGGAAAAGUCAAUGAACCACACAAGAAUUCAAUUUUGGAGGUAAUUGAGAAGUGCGAAUCCAAUCACCUAAUGAUCCUCUUCCGCGAUGCUGGCUGCAUGUUCCGUUCACUUUAUUCCUACUUCCCUGACACUGAAGAGAUCCACAAGGUGACAGGCACUGGGCCAAAGAGCAUCAGCAAGAAAAUGAUCGACAAGCUUUACAAAUACAGCUCUGACCGGAAACAAUUUAACGUGAUCCCUGCCAAGACGGUGUCCGUCAGUGUGGACGCUCUGACCAUUCACAACCAUCUAUGGCAAGUCAAGCGGCCGUCGGCUCCAAAGAAAUCAGGGAAAUGAAGAGUGAUUCUGGAGGGAAACUUUUUUGCUUUCGUCCUGGACAGAACGCGUCGACAUCAGCACUGUAUAUUUUCCAGUAGAAACUUUAAAAGGUUUUUCGGAUCUAACUUACAAAUGGGACACAGUAAAUGCUGUGUAGGAACAUGAGAUUGUAAUUGUUCUGAAGGAGUGCUAUUUUGGAAUCUCAGAAUUGUCUUUGGAGAAACAGAAAUAAGCUGGAUCUUGGUGCUGUCUGUUCAGGUUUUUUAAACAAAAUGCAUGUGGCAAAUUUUCUAACCAGUGGAUUUCUUUUUACUUGAAGUAUUGUUUGGCACUAGUUGUGGAGUAUAUUUAUUUGCGGAUCCACUCUUUUGAAGCGACAGCAAAAUCUUUGGAGACAGGAAACUUGAAUCGGGGAUUCUGUAUCCUCUACCCUGAACCAGAAAACUAUGGAGUGGACAUAGAUUCCUUUUACUGGCUGGAGCGAAAACACUACACUUGUUCUUUAUAAUAUAAUUCUGACAUCACAUAAUGCAAAUCAUCAGAUAGUAUACCGCCAAUGUGUCUCCCAACUUCUCUCAAAACAUGCUGCUUGGAAACAUUUUACUAUUUUAAACAGAAAAAACCCUGAGAAACACUAUAGGCAUUCAUUUACUGUGGUACUGUUUGUCUAGUUGUAUCUGCUUUUAAUAUAGAAGACUGGUUUAUUGAAUUCAGGAUCACAGCACUGGUGGCACAGAAUUAUGGGAAUAUAAUAAAAAGAAAAAAGCUACUUAAUAAAGCUAAAACCUUUGACAGGUAAAUUGGUACAAACGUUUGUUUAUUUUUUAAACCCAUGUAUGGUCUAAAGCAGGGUUUGAGAUCCCUGAUCUAAAGGGUGAAAACAGGUGUUAUUUUGUUUGUUACAAUAAGAAAUUGUUAGAGGUAUUUCAGCACUGGGCACGGUAUUCCUCUAUGAAGGUGCACUUUCAGAUCACAUUUUUAAUGUGUUUUUCUUUUUUUAAUCAUGCAAUUAUAAUCCUCGGUUCUCUCCUGUUUUUUUUCUAUUCUGAGUGAGCAGCAUGCUCUGUAGUGAAGAGUGUGCCUGUUAACUUUUUGGGUGACAGUAUUUAAUAUAUUCAUAAUAGCAUAGUCUUUGAUUGUUGUCUUUUUAUGUUCUCGAAGGUGACCUAUGUGACACAUUAAGGUUAAAUCUUAAUGCUUUAAAAAAACAAUGACAAAUCAAUUUCAUGUUUUGCCUCAAGAUCAAAAUGGAUUAAGUGUUGCACAUUAUCCUUGCUUGCUGAUCAACAUAAAGCUGACAUUUAGGAGCCAGAAUGUGUAUGUUUUGGUAUUUUAAAAGGGUGAAAAACCAUCUUAUUUACAAACCCAAGAGACUGUGUUCUAAACUAAGCAGUACAUAUUACCAAAAAGCAGGUAGGAUAACACUAACUAUAGCAAGAUGAAGGUCUUCCUUUGUUCUAUAGUUUUUCCAAAUCGUAAAAAAAAAAAAGAAAGAAAAAAGAAAGGCUUUAGAAUACUUCAUUUAAUAUAAGUUGCUGCAUUUUGUAUAUAUGUUUUUGAUAGCUGUUUGUAAAUAACUUAUAGUUUGUUUACUAAAGAUUGUUAUUCAGUUUUAUCACAUUAGGGUACUUUUCUGUUGCAAA